CUGGAAGCUGUUGGGACCAGUUGGGACCGGUGGUGGGCAAAACAAGUGUUUUGUCCACUCUUGCAGUCUUCCUAGAGUAAAGUGGAGGUCUCUGUCUGCUUUAGGAGAGCCAACUAAACUGGAUCGUUCCCCUCCAUACAUGU
rnacentral:snoRNA from 1 species